rnacentral:lncRNA from 1 species
AGAGGGGAGCCAGACCGAUUGAUUCCUGGCCCACAGCGCCCUGUGUGAAGCAAACCCUCCUCAGAUUUCUAAGGUUUCCAGGAGGGCAGGUUGGAUGGGAGCCUUGCAGUGCUGAGGAGACUGAAGGAUGCAUUCUACCAUGUGGCUCCAAAGAUAAGUUGGGGGCGGCAGACUGGAUAACAAGCUAGACUCCCUUCUACUUCUGAUAAGAUAGAGGGCCUCUGUCUUUGAACGUGUUAUUAAUACUCUGCUCAGUUCUGUGGCCAGUGGGAGAGCGGUGAGCCCGUUCCUUUCAUCAGGGUAGCUAGGGCCUCCCCAGGGCUAUGGGAGGGAGGUUAUAGACAGAGCCCUGGGCCCACGAUACCAUUCAACAUCUGGCUUCUUUCUUGGGCUCUUGGGAGUUUGUGCCCCCCCCCCUCCAAGCCCCAGCUUAGCCUUGAGGCUUCUGCCACAAAUGUCUCCCUUGCUAUGUAACCAGGUUUAAUAAAACAUGGAUAUUGUAU